rnacentral:tRNA from 1 species
GAUAGCUCAGCGGUAGAGCAGUUGACUGUUAAUCAAUUGGUCGCAGGUUCGAAUCCUGCUC